GGAAUCUUUUGCUAGUCCUAAAAACACUAGUGAAUAAGGGGUGGGCAAGUUCUGGUGUCAGCCGCCGCGGUAAAACCAGCACCUCAAGUUGUCAGGAGGAUUAUUGGGCCUAAAGCAUCCGUAGCCGGCUCUGUAAGUUUCCGGUUAAAUCCAUUUGCUCAACAAAUGGGCUGCCGGAAAAACUGCAAAGCUAGGGAGUGGGAAAGGUAGACGGUACUCGGUAGGAAGGGGUAAAAUCCUUUGAUCUAUUGAUGACCACCUGUGGCGAAGGCGGUCUACCAAAACACGUUCGACGGUGAGGGAUGAAAGCUGGGGGAGCAAACCGGAUUAAAUACCCGGGUAGUCCCAGCUGUAAACGAUGCAAACUCGGUGAUGCGCUGGCUUGUGGCCAUUGCANUGCCGCAGGGAAGCCGUUAAGUUUGCCGCCUGGGAAGUACGUACGCAAGUAUGAAACUUAAAGGAAU
rnacentral:rRNA from 1 species